rnacentral:rRNA from 1 species
CAUGGCCUCUUGCUAACCGAACGUAUAAGAGGUCCCGCCUGCCCUGUGAUUAUAUGUUUACCGGCCGCGGUAUUUUGCCGUGCGAAGGUAGCGCAAUCACUUGUCUUUUAAAUGGGGACCUGUAUGAAUGGCAUAACGAGGGCUUGACUGUCUCCUCUUUCAAGUCAAUGAAAUUGAUCUCCCCGUGCAGAAGCGGGGAUAAACACAUAAGACGAGAAGACCCUAUGGAGCUUUAGACACUAAAGCAGAUCAGCAUUAAUACCCUUAACAACAGGACCCGAAUUAACUGAACCCUGCCCUAAUGUCUUUGGUUGGGGCGACCGCGGAGAAACAAAAAACCCCCGCAAGGACCGAAUGUACCACAUUCACAACUAAGAGCGACAGCUCUAAUUAACAGAAUUUCUGACCAGUAAGAUCCGGCAACGCCGAUCAAUGAACCGAGUUACCCUAGGGAUAACAGCGCAAUCUCCUCUUAGAGUCCAUAUCGACGAGGAGGKUUACGACCUCGAUGUUGGAUCAGGACAUCCUAAUGGUGCAGCCCGCUAUUAAGGGUUCGUUUGUUCAACGAUUAAAGUCCUACGUGAUCUGA